UACGUAGGGGGCAAGCGUUGUCCGGAUUUAUUGGGCGUAAAGGGCUCGUAGGCGGUUUGUCGCGUCGGGAGUGAAAACUCAGGGCUUAACCCUGAGCCUGCUUCCGAUACGGGCAGACUAGAGGUAUGCAGGGGAGAACGGAAUUCCUGGUGUAGCGGUGAAAUGCGCAGAUAUCAGGAGGAACACCGGUGGCGAAGGCGGUUCUCUGGGCAUUACCUGACGCUGAGGAGCGAAAGUGUGGGGAGCGAACAGG
rnacentral:rRNA from 1 species